GAAGCCCCAGUGAACGGCGGCCGUAACUAUAACGGUCCUAAGGUAGCGAAAUUCCUUGUCAGGUAAGUUCUGACCCGCACGAAAGGUGUAAUGAUUUGGGCACUGUCUCGGCAGCAGACUCGGUGAAAUCUUAGUACCUGUGAAGAUGCAGGUUACCCGCAACUAGACGGAAAGACCCCAUGGAGCUUUACUGUAGUCUGCUAUUGAGUUUCGGUUAAGUAUGCACAGGAUAGGUGGGAGACGAUGAGACUGGUCUUUUGGGAUCAGAGGAGUCACUGUUGGGAUACCACUCUUACUUAAUUGAAAUUCUAACUCUAAGCCGUGAUCCGGCUAGAGGACCGUGGCAGAUGGGCAGUUUGACUGGGGCGGUCGCCUCCCAAAGAGUAACGGAGGCGCACAAAGGUACUCUCAGAAUGGUUGGAAAUCAUUCAUCGAGCGCAAACGCAGAAGAGUGCUUGACUGCGAGACAAACAAGUCGAGCAGGGACGAAAGUCGGUGUUAGUGAUCCGGCGGUGCAGAAUGGAAUGGCCGUCGCUUAACGGAUAAAAGCUACCCUGGGGAUAACAGGCUGAUCUCGCCCAAGAGUUCACAUCGACGGCGAGGUUUGGCACCUCGAUGUCGGCUCAUCGCAUCCUGGAGGUGAAUUCGCUUCCAAGGGUUGGGCUGUCCGCCCAUUAAAGCGGUACGCGAGCUGGGUUCAGAACGUCGUGAGACAGUUCGGUCCCUAUCUGUUGUGGGCGUUGGAAAUUUGAGGAGAGCUGCCCCUAGUACGAGAGGACCAGGGUGGACGUUCCUACGGUGCACCAGUUGUCACGCCAGUGGCAUAGCUGGAUAGCUGAGAACGGACCGGAUAAACGCUGAAGGCAUCUAAGCGUGAAACCGACUCCAAGAUUAGAUUUCCCAUCAUUUCAAAUGAAUAAGACCCCUUGAAGACGACGAGGUUGAUAGGUCAGAGAUGUAAGUGUAGCGAUACAUUCAGUUGACUGAUACUAAUAGGUCGAAGAUUUAUUCAC
rnacentral:rRNA from 1 species